AUUGAACGCUGGCGGCGUGCUUAACACAUGCAAGUCGAUCGGUAACAGGUGUAGCAAUACAUGCUGACGAGAGGCGGACGGGUGAGUAAUGCUUGGGAAUCUGCCUAUUAGUGGGGGACGAACCCGGGGAAACGUCGGGCUAAUACCGCAUACGCUCUACGGAGGAAAGCCGGGGACCGCAAGGCCUGGCGCUAAUAGAUGAGCCCAAGUCGGAUUAGCUAGUUGGUAGGGUAACGGCCUACCAAGGCGACAAUCCGUAGCUGGUCUGAGAGGACGACCAGCCACACCGGAACUGAGACACGGUCCGGACUCCUACGGGAGGGCAGCAGUGGGGAAUAUUGGACAAUGGGGGCGAACCCUGAUCCAGCAAUGCCGCGUGAGUGAAGAAGACCUUAGGGUUGUAAAGCUC
rnacentral:rRNA from 1 species